rnacentral:misc_RNA from 1 species
AAAGCAACUGUGAUUCUCCUACAAAGUUCCAAUCUUUAUCAAGAACCCACAAAAUUCAUCAACCCAUUUGAAGUGUUUUACUCCUUAAAUCGAUAAAUUGACUCAAAAAUCUCCAGUUACUACUGUUCCUGCAAUAUACAACAAUGGCGACUCUUUCCCUUUCCCCUUCCGUGGGAACAACUUUUCACUCUCUCCAUAGCUACCCAAAUGGUUCCUCAUCCUAUUCUUCUUCUUGUCCCGCUACUGCUUCUCCAGCUUUGUCACUGACAUUGUCAUCUACCAAUUCACGAUUUUUAAAUUCAGCUUUCAAGAUGAAUGAAAUUAAUGUUCCUGUCAGGAAUAGGGUGACAAAAUCCUUUGGGGUCCGGAUGUCUUGGGAUGGUCCACUUUCUUCUGUUAAACUCAUUCUUCAAGGGAAAAAUCUUGAGUUAACACCUGUUGUAAAGGACUAUGUGGAAGAGAAGUUGGGUAAGGCAGUUCAAAAGCACAGCCAUCUAGCCAGGGAAGUGGAUGUUAGGCUGUCUGUUCGAGGUGGAGAGCUUGGAAAAGGCCCAAAAAUUCGAAGAUGUGAAGUUACUCUAUUUACGAAAAAGCAUGGAGUGAUUCGUGCAGAGGAAGACGGUGAGUCAAUUUAUGGAAGUAUAGAUAUGGUAUCAUCAAUUAUACAGAGAAAGUUGCGGAAAAUUAAGGAGAAGGAUUCAGACCGUGGUCGCCACAUGAAGGGCUUCGAUAGGCUGAAAGUCAGGGACCCAGAGGCGCUGUUAGUUCAAGAGGAUCUUGAAACACUUUCCCAAGAGGAAGAAGUUGAAGAUGACAAGAGUGAUGGCUUUGUUACUGAGGUUGUUCGUAAGAAGUCCUUUGACAUGCCACCUUUAAGUGUCAAUGAAGCAAUUGAACAGCUGGAAAAUGUCGACCAUGACUUCUAUGGUUUCCGGAAUGAGGAAACUGGUGAGAUUAACAUUGUUUACAGACGAAAAGAAGGGGGUUAUGGACUUAUUAUUCCAAAGGAAGAUGGUAAAACAGAGAAGUUAGAGCCCUUGGAGGUUGAACCAGAGAAAGAACCGUCGAUAGCAGAAUAAAUCGAUAUGGUAAAAGAGUUAUUAGUUAGUCACUGAGUACAUUUGCUUAGGCAUAAUGUUCACUCCUUGAGAGUCACAAGAAACAGUUUUAUGAAUUGAGAAUAUAUUGCCAAAAAAGCUUCUGUAUGAAAUGAGUUCUGUAAAGUUUGUAACUAAAACUUGACAAGGAAAAAU